rnacentral:rRNA from 1 species
CUACGGGUGGCUGCAGUGAGGAAUAUUGCACAAUGGGGGGAACCCUGAUGCAGCAACGCCGCGUGGAGGAUGACGCAUUUCGGUGUGUAAACUCCUUUUAUAUGUCAAGAAAAUGACGGUAGCAUAUGAAUAAGCACCGGCUAACUCCGUGCCAGCAGCCGCGGUAAUACGGAGGGUGCAAGCGUUACUCGGAAUCACUGGGCGUAAAGGACGCGUAGGCGGGUUGGAAAGUCAGGUGUGAAAUCCUACAGCUUAACUGUAGAACUGCACUUGAAACUUCUAAUCUAGAGUAUGGGAGGGGGAGAUGGGAUUAGUGGUGUAGGGGUAAAAUCCGUAGAUAUCACUAGGAGUACCUAAAGCGAAGGCGAUCUCCUGGAGCAUUACUGACGCUAAGGCGUGAAAGCGUGGGGAGCAAACAGGAUUAGAUACCCGUGUAGUC